rnacentral:rRNA from 1 species
UACGUAGGGUGCGAGCGUUUAAUCGGAAUUACUGGGCGUAAAGCGUGCGCAGGCGGUUUUGUAAGCCAGAUGUGAAAUCCCCGGGCUUAACCUGGGAAUGGCAUUUGGGACUGCAAGGCUUGAGUGCGGCAGAGGAGACUGGAAUUCCUGGUGUAGCGGUGAAAUGCGCAGAUAUCAGGAGGAACACCGGUGGCGAAGGCGCCACUCUGGGCCACGACUGACGCUGAGGAGCGGAAGCAUGGGUAGCAAACAGG